rnacentral:lncRNA from 1 species
UUAGAAAGAAAAUUUAAAAGACACAAAGCAGAAUUGAUGCUGUUUCAGUUACACAUCAUUAUCAAAACAAUCAGUGCAGCUUUACUAUAGGCAUAAAUCCAAAAGUAAUCAGCUAGGAGCGUUACUCAAUAAUUUUGGCAAGCGAAAGGGUUUCUGCAAACCCCCAACCAGUAUAAGAAGCAGGCAUAUGCAACACAAAGGAGAGAUAUCACAAACAUGCACCUACUAGUCACAGAUACAUCAUCAUAAAAAUCAAGAGAGAACAUUCCAGAGAGAAAGAGAGCAUACUUUGCGACAGAAAUCAGAGAGAGAGCAGUCAUAAAAAGGCAGAAAUAAUCAGGGCAUAUAUUCAUAUCAUAUAAACAGAGAGCAAUUCCUAUCCAUACACAUAACACAUCAGAGAAUACGCUACACAUUAAGGCGGGCAGAAAUCAUACAACAUGUGCAUCACGUAAGUCCAGGCACAGGUAGACACGGAUACAGCACCAUAAAAACCAGAAAGAGACUCAGUAAGAAGUCACAGAAGAGAGAUAGAGUUAUAUUUCACAGGGCAUAUACUCAGGUAAGCAUUCAAACCAUAAAAAUGUGUUUCAUGUGCAUAUCUUGCUUUAUGUAGCUUAUGCAUUAAACGUAUAGGAAUAACUCAUAAGUUGUUCUAAUCGGUCACAUAAACACAUACACGUAUAAUAAACUAAAAUAUAAAAAACGGGUAAGGAUUCAUUGUAAAUAAAGGAGAAUGAUUACCUCUCCUCUGAUCUGUUGCGAGUGAUCGCUAAGGGGAGAUGCCUCGACUUAGUCGACAUGGCGUAGGUCUUUGGUAUGCCUUAAUCGGUUCUGGCUCAACCAUUAAUGACCCCAGAUCGUCACUCUGUAAAGGCCAAUAGAAAGUGCAUGAGUUCAUAAAAAUAGGAACCGAGAAUCAAUAGAAAGUAGGAAAUUGACAAAAAAAUAUAAUAAAGCAAUGAUUACCCGAUUCGGAACCGCCCUAACCCAUCGGAGGGAGGCUGAGCCGAUGUGAACCACCCGAUUCAAAUUCGAGGUGGUGGUUUUGAGACCACAUCUUAAGCCGAGAAAGCCUUGGAGGAUUGACAUUAUUGUCUUCCUCCAUCAAUUUGAAGUUGGCAUUGAAAAGGAUAAAAACGAAGUUGGGGGAUUUCAAUUCCCCUUGCUGCGAGAGAGAUGGAAAAGAAGAACUCGCGAAGAAGCAUCAUCGCGCUACCACUGGUUCCGUCUCGCCUCCACUGGGAACCACCGAGAGAUUCGUAGAACGAAACAGAAGCUCGGAGCGAAGCCACCGGCAAGGCACAACCCGUCACCACCACCGGAGAUGGAGCUAGAAAGAAGAAGGAGUUGGGGAUUAGGGAUUUCAAUUUUUCCCUUCCCAACUUGUUCUGCGUGAAAUGGGCAAAGGGGUUAACACCCCUCAAUUGCCUCUUUUUGGUUUUACACGUGAUUCUUCCUUUUUUAGUUUUACUUAUUUAUUUUUUGUUUUAUUAGUUUUAUUAUUUCUUUUGUUUAUUAUUAUUGUUUGGGUUGUUUCUUUUCAAGUCAUUUACAUCAUGUAUCCAAUAAUCACAUCAUUAUGCAACAAUGCACACUAAUUUGUUUUGUGUUAGAUUGUUUUAAUUGAUUUAGUUAUAAAAAUAUAAGUACUUAAAAUAUAUUCUUUAGCAAUAAUGUGAUCAAACUUCCGCUCUUCAAUUAUUAUCAAAUUAAUUAUGGAAUUUUUAUAGUAAGGUUAUGGUUUGAGUUGUCUCUAACUUCUCCGAAAAUAAGAAGAAGGUCUACAACCAACACCGUCUCUAAACUAUUAAUUCUAUACAUAUAAUUAUUAAACUAUUUUAUCACCCAAAUUCUAUAUGUACGAAUAACUAGAAACUAUAUUAUCAAAUUAACCAUGGAAUUUUUAUAGUAAGGUUAUGGUUCGAGUUGUCUCUAACUUCUCCGAAAAUGAGAAGAAGGUCUACAACCAACACCGUCUCUAAACUAUUAAUUCUAUAUAUAUAAUUAAUAAACUAUUUUAUCACCCAAAUUCUAUAUGUACGAAUAAUUAGAAACUAUUACAAAAUAAAUUUCAUGAGUUUUUAUAGUGAGGUCACGAUUCGAGUCGUCUCUAACUCCCCUGAGAAUGGGAAGAAGGUUUACGACCAAUACCGUCUCUAAAACUAUUAGUCUCAUUGAAUCGAAACAAUUGCAUAUUUUUGAACAAAAUUCAAAUUAACCAAUUCAAUAAACUAAUACUUCUAAAACCUACCAAUAAUUUCUAAAUCACUAACCAUUAACCAAAGUGGCUAAACAAUUUUCAAAAUAGAACUAUGUAAGCCUUGAUCCCCUUAAUAGGGGUACAUAGGACCAAAGUCAAUAUUGUCAGGCUCAAUAAUAAAAAUAAAUAAUUUUAAAUGAAUAAUUGUUAAGGGUAUAAAAGUCCAAGAUAUAAGUGAGGGUACCGUUUUAAUACGGGCGGACGGGGUGCUAGUACCUUCCCCGAUCCGUAAUCGACUCCCGCGCUCAGAAUCUCUGUCUAAAGACCAAAUUAUCCUAAUUGGGCUUACUAUAGAGUUUUCUACGUUUUCACCGCAAAAAACGUAGUGGCGACUCCAAAUCAAUUGGGAGAGGUAGAAAUCGAAUUCACCUCCUCCCACGUCGUAGGGCCGGUCUUCCAACCGAAAAUCGGGUCGCGACACUUGCAAGACCAAGAGACUAAAGCAUUGCCUAAAAUGUGACAAGUACCACUUGUACUUUUCCUUUCAGAUUUACAUCCGGCAAAAUCUGAAUCCGAAUAUCCAACCAAUUCACAUAUACUUCCUUUUGGAUACCACAGUCCAACUUCAGUUGUACCUUUAAGAUAUUUCAUAAUUNNNNNNNNNNNNNNNNNNNNNNNNNNNNNNNNNNNNNNNNNNNNNNNNNNNNNNNNNNNNNNNNNNNNNNNNNNNNNNNNNNNNNNNNNNNNNNNNNNNNUUUCUAUCAGGAAAGUUGUUAGACGAUCAUACCACACUCGUGGUACUUGCUUUAAACCAUAGAGGGCUUUCUUUAAUUUGAAGACAUGAGAAGGAUAUUUGUAGUCUUCAAAGCCAGGAGGUUGUUCUACAAACACUUCUUCUUGAAAGUAGCCAUUGAGAAAAGCACUCUUGACAUCCAUUUGAUAUAACUAAAAAUUAAGAGAACAAGUAUAUGCAAGUAAUAGCCUAAUAGCUUCAAGUCUAGCAACUAGAGCAAAGGUUUCAUCAAAGUCAAUACCNNNNNNNNNNNNNNNNNNNNNNNNNNNNNNNNNNNNNNNNNNNNNNNNNNNNNNNNNNNNNNNNNNNNNNNNNNNNNNNNNNNNNNNNNNNNNNNNNNNNAGGAACAAGUUCCCAAACUUCAUUCCUCUCAAACUGGUUUAAUUCUCCUUGCAUAGAAAGAAUCCAGUGUUGAUCCUCGAUUGCAUCAUCAAUCUUGGAGGGUUCUAUCUGAGAGACGAAGGCCAUGUUUAGACAAGCAUCAAACAUUCUACGAGUAGUUAUACUUUUACUUAUAUCACUGAUGAUAUUGACAAUAGGAUGAUUUCGAUGAGUUCUCCAUUCUUUUGGUAGAUCUGAGUGAAUAUGCUCUUCUUGAGAAGAUAGAUUAUCACCUAUUCUCAAAUCUUCAGGUUCAGUUGUAACAUCAACAUUAGAAUUUUAUUUAGCAGAUGAACUUGGCAAGUCCUCUUUAUCACAGGAUAUCACUUCUUUUAAUACAUGAUUGGUUUCAUAAAAAGUUACAUGAACACAUUCUUCCAUGGCUAGAGUUCUUUUAUUAAAGACUCUAUAAGCUUUACUCGUGAGAGAAUAGCCAAGGAAAAUUCCUUCAUCAGCUUUUGCAUCAAACUUGCCCAAGUUAUCCUUACCAUUGUUCAGAACAAAACAUUUACAACCAAAAACAUGGAUGAGAAAUGUUAUGUUUUCUACCUUUGAAGAGUUCAUAGGGGGUUUUCUUAAGAAUAGGUCUUAUAAGAACUCGAUUCGAAACAUAACAAGCAGUGCUAACUGCAUCAGCCCAAAAGUAUUUUGGGAGGUUAGUUUCAUUUAACAUUGAUCAGGCCAGUUCUUCUAAGGACCGAUUCUUUCUCUCUACAACAUCAUUUUGUUGAGGUGUUCUAAAAGCAUAAAAAUUAUGGUUGAUCCCAAGAUCAUCACAGAAUUCCUCAAAAGAGGAGUUUUGAAAUUCUCCCCCAUGAUCACUUCGUAUAACAGCGAUUUUUAGAUAUUUUUCAUUCUGAACUCUUUUUGCAUAAAUGCUAAAGGCUUUGAAUGCCUCAUUCUUAUGUACUAAGAAUGGAGACCAAGUAUAUCUAGAAAAAUCGUCCAUUAUAACAAGAGCAUAAUAAUUUCUACCAAAACGUUUUGUCCUUGAGGGACCAAAUAAAUCCAUAUGAAGUAAUUGUAAUGGUCUAUCGGAAGAAACCAUGUGCUUUGGUUUGAAAGAGGUUUUUGUUUGUUUACCCAUUUGACAAGCACUANNNNNNNNNNNNNNNNNNNNNNNNNNNNNNNNNNNNNNNNNNNNNNNNNNNNNNNNNNNNNNNNNNNNNNNNNNNNNNNNNNNNNNNNNNNNNNNNNNNNUGUCAAUCAUAUAUAUAUUAUUUAUUCUCUUAUUAUUAAGUUUAGAAUUAUCCUUACUUUCAAUGAUGCAUUUAUCUAGAUAGAAUGCCACAUGAAAUCCUUUGUCGCAUAAUUGACUUAUGCUUAGAAGGUUGUGUUUGAGUCCUUCAACAUAUAGUGCGCCUUCUAUAGUUGUUGAUGGUGGCUUUGCAAUUCUACCAACUCCAAGAAUUCUUCCCUUGUUGUUGUCACCAUAUGUGACAUAUCCUUUGUNNNNNNNNNNNNNNNNNNNNNNNNNNNNNNNNNNNNNNNNNNNNNNNNNNNNNNNNNNNNNNNNNNNNNNNNNNNNNNNNNNNNNNNNNNNNNNNNNNNNAAUAGCCAAGACCUCUUCGGUCUGUUGAGUGUCUUUGAUCAUUGAUAAUCUUUUCUAAGAUUUUACCACUCUUGUUUAGUUUAUUAAGUUCAAGGCUUAAUGUUAAUACUUUAUUUUCAAGAGUGACGAAGUUUUGACAAGAGGAUGAAGAAGAUUGUUUCUAAAUGCAUCUAUUUCAGAUUUUUGUUUUAGAAACAUUUUUGAUAAUUUAAUAUAUUCAUCAUGUAAAUCAUUAAAUCCAGAUUGAAGUUCGGAAGAAGAAAAUAGAUUAGAGUCAUUUACCUCUUCAUCAUCAGAAUGAUGAGAUACCAUAAGUGAUAGAUGUGCUUGUUCUUCGUUUUCUAUUUCAGAUGCAAAACUGGUAUCAUUGUCUUCCCAAGCAAUGUAUGCUCUUCAUCCAGUCUUUAUAUCAUUCUUUCCUUUGAAGGAACCCUUUUUCAAAUUAGGACAAUCAAUCCAUGUGGCCCGAUUUGCCACAUUCAAAACAUGUAAAUUUUUGACUUGAGGUGGAGGCAUCAUUGCUUUUGGUGAGUUUCCUUGUUUGGCCACUUUUUGCGCCUUUGUUCCUUUUUAGGAACUUGCUGAAUUUCUUUACGAAGAGACUUAUAUAUUCCGUAUCAUCUUUUUCUGAUUCAUCUCCAAAUGAGUCAUAUCUAUAAACUUUUGCUUUUAGAGAAAUAUUUUUCUUCUUCUUUUCUUGCUCCUCGUGUUGAUCAAUUUGGCUAAGUUCUAAUUCGUGUUCCUGCAAUUUACCUAACAAAGAAACCAAAGACAUUUUGGAUAAACUUUUAUUUUCAGAAAUUGCGGUUACCUUUGGUUGCCAUAUUCUGGUGAGUGAUCUAAGAACUUUUAAGUUUAAGUCACUAUUUGAUAGAAUUUUGCCAAGUGCAAGAAGGUGAUUGGUAAGAUGAGUAAAUCUUUUUUGUAAAUCAAGAAUUUUCUCUUCAGUCUUCAUGCGAAACAUUUCGUAUUUCUGAGAAAGAGUGUUGAGUCUUGACCUUUUUACUUCCUUUGUUCCUUCGUGUGUGGUCUCUAGAGUAUCCCACAUUUCUUUUGCAGAAUUACAAUUUGAUACUCUAAAGAAUUCAUCAAUACCAAGAGCGGAGGUGAGAAUGUUCUUUGCCUUUAAAUCAUAUUGUACCUUCUUUUUGUCUUCAUCGUUUCAUGAUGAUUUUGACUUUAUUUCCCUUAUAUUGUUGAUAACAGUAAAGGAUAUAUAUGGUCCUUCUUCAAUGGCGUUCCAUAUGUCUAAGUCUUGAGAUUCAAUAAAGAUCCUCUUUCUAAUUUUCCAGAAAUCAUAACAUUCUCCAACAAAUCUUGGAGGACGGUUGAUGUUGGAACCUUCUCCGAGGAAUGAUCUUGAGGCCAUCUUGAUGUAGGAUCAGAUUUAAGAGUAUCUUACUCAAAUACAGCUCUGUACCAAUUGUAAGAAUGAGAUUGCAACUAAGAGGGGAUGAAUUAGUUGACUUAAAAUUAUGGUAACUUUUUUUGCAAAACGUAAGAGUUAAUGUGUAGCGGAUAAUAUUGCAGAAAAUAAACAAGAAUAAAUAAAAGUGGUAAGGAAGAAUAGAGUACACAAGGAUUUUAUACUCGUUCACCUUCUUGUCCACCGAAGGCUACAUCCAGUACUCUUGCAGCACAAGAGAUUUUCCACUAAAUAUUAUGAGUCGUAAUUACAAUAUCUCACCCCGAGAUCUCUAAGUAUCUUACACAUUCACUAAUAUUUAUACCCUUGGAAAACACCUUUCCAAGUAACUUUAUCCCCUUUCUAUUCACACCCUGUGAAAGAAAGUUUAUUGCAAUGAAUGAAGAAUUUGAAUGAUGGCUUUGGAUUGCCUUUACAAGUAUGAAAUAUUAUAACACUUGCAAUAUAAUCAACUCUUUUGUAUACUUAGUAAUAAUAUUCAAUAGAUUUGUAAAACUUUGAAACAAUUACUUCUAAUUAAGAACAAUUACUUCUAAUAGAUUUGUAAAACUUUGAAACAAUUACUUCUCUUUGGAAAGUUUAAGAACUUAGUGCAAAAGUGUAGAAAAGUAGUGAGAGAAUUUUUCAGAAUCGUAUGAGAGUUGUAUAAAAGUUGUGUCGCGUGUUGUGAGAGUUUAAAGUUUUUAUAUAGACUUUCCAAACACCCAUGGUGUCUUUCUGAAAGUGUAGGAGUUGUUUGAAGUGAAGAGAUUUCAUUUGGAGUGAAGACAUUUCGUUUUGAAAUCUGAAAUCUCAUGCAACAGUCUUCACUAAUCGAUUACUGAUAGUGGGUAAUCGAUUACCCAAACUCUCUAUCCACUGUUUAUUUAAAAAUGAAUUAGAGUAAUCGAUUACACCAUUUGGGUAAUCGGUUACUCAACUUUUGUAAAACUGGUAAUCUGUUACUCAAAGACAGUAAUGGAUUACUCUGAACAGUUUAAAGUUGGAUAACUCUUUUUCUCUCAUAUGUAACUUGUUACUUAAAUGAAGUAACUCGUUACACAUCAUUUUGAAAAAUGUUUUAAGUAUUUUUUAAAGUGUUUCAUUUUUCUUAAAAAAUAGUUUGAGCAUUACUACUUUGUAUAUUAAAGAGUUUUAGGAUAGAAAUAUCUAUAGAGACUUAAUCUAAUUUUCUUGAAGCUUUGAUCUUCUUUGUCUUUGUAAGUAUUCUUCCUUUUUCUUCUUUUUGGUGAUAUUUGUGUCUUCAUCAAAACCUUACUAAACUAAGGUCAGGAACAAAGAUCUUCUUCACAACAACUUCUCAAAUCACAGCAAAAGAAAGACAUGAUACCCUUCAAUUUCCGAAUCAAUUUUUUAAAUUAACUAUAUAAUUAAAAAAUAAUUUUUGAAUUAAUUAAAUAUUCCUCAAUUCAAUAAGAGAAUAAAAAGAAAUAGUAAUAUUCAGUGGUUGGUUAAGAAAAAAUAUUUUUUUUAAAAUAACUAAUUUGAAGGGUGUGAGAAAGAGAUUAAGACAAUAGAUGUAAAUAUUGGCUGUGAAUUAUCACAUCUUCUCGAGAGAUAGUAAACACUCUUAAUAACCUUGAUCGCUUCUCAAUUUAAUUUGAGAAGAAAAAUAUGACAAGAGUCACAGUCUCCUUCUUAAACUAUAUUAAUUUUAUUUGAAAAACUUUUGGCUUUUAAUAAUUUUUUAUCGUGAUUUCUAUUUUGAUGCACUUUCGUGCUAUAGGUAGGAGUAUAUUUUUCAAGUAUUAAUUAAAUGAUUUUAAAAACUGUUGAAUUAAUUAAAACAAAAUCGAUCAUAACUAAAAUAUUUUAAACUUAAAAAAUAUCAAUCUAAUUGUGAGAAAGGAAAUAAUUGAUUUCUAGACAUCAAAACAAUUAAAAAUUCAUGUGUUUUUGUAAUAAAAAUAUUUUAUUAAUUUUAUGAAUCUAUAAAGAAUACUUCCAAAACCGAUUACUGUGCAAGAAUAUUUCACUUAACCUUAUAAAACCAUAAAAAUUAUAAGAAUAUCCCUUUUUUUUUGGGACAAAAACACAUUAAUAACAUUGUUAAAUCAUAAAAUUACUAUAAUGCCCAUAUAUGGGUAAAAAUAUUUUUUUACUAUAUAAAACUACCAAAAUUACUAAAAUGCCCAUUUUGGAAAAAAAAAGCAUUCAUAAUUUUAGAGUAGAUACUGAUUUUAAUCCUUCAUGUUUUUCAAUUUUACUAGUUUGUUUCUCAAAAAUUGAAAACCUCAAGAAAGUCCCCAAUAAUUUUAAAUGUGUGUCAAAGUAGUCUUUUUAGCAUGUAAUUCAACAUUUGACGCAGGCUUAAAAUUUUUAGAGAUCAUUUUGAGUUUUCAAUUUUUAGAAACCAUUUUGGUUUCUCAAUCUUUGAGGGACCAAAUUGGUAAUGUCAAAAAACUUCAAGGACAGAAAUAGGUAUAUUUUACUCAUAAUUUUAUAAAAAUGUAAAAACUUGGUAAAGUAAUUAUUUGACUCUAUAAAACCACAAAAUUUACUAAAAUUUCCCAUUUUCUCUUAUUUUUUUAGUAUGUAAAAUGCAUUAGACGUACAUGUACAGUGUUGGAAUGUUAUGCAUGAACGAAUCUUUGAAGAGCAUUCUGCAUUCUAACUCUGAUUUUUUUUGUUGGUCCUGCAAUUUCAUGACAUAGUUCCAAGAAAACACUCGCCUAUUACGUCUGUAAAGUUUGUAGCAUGUUAUCAGAAAUUAAAUCAGGGAUUUUGUUGCUUAAUUUUGUAAUUGGGCUGCUAUUGUGGAUUGAAUUCAAAAGAACUUAAUAAUAUGACAACAAAUCAAUUGCUUUAUACUCCAAUAACAAUUGGAAAUCCGCCAAAUCUUUCCGUAGCACAUUGCUUACAUGAGUGUCACAGAUUUCACAAUGUAUUGGUUUAGUGAAAAUUUGUUAUUAAAUUGAUUUAAUUUUAUAUUGUAUGUUUAGAAUAUGCAUGCAUACUUUUAUAUUUGGAUACUAUUUUGAUUAAAAAUAAAGCUUACUAUUGAGUUUAUUACACUUCUUUUUUAAAGUGCAAUAUGUCAAGAGAGCACUUGGCAUGCCUAUGUUUUGAUGAAGACAACUCAACAAAUCAACAUGCCAAAGAUUCAAGAGCUUCAUGUCUAGACUAGAGUCUUAGAUGUGUCUUAGUUAUUGAGUUUAGGUUAGGUAAACCUAGAUGCAAAUCUCACAAAGUCUAAAAACUAUCAUAUCAUUUACAUGAGACAUGCCAUCUAGUUUAUUAUAUGUNNNNNNNNNNNNNNNNNNNNNNNNNNNNNNNNNNNNNNNNNNNNNNNNNNNNNNNNNNNNNNNNNNNNNNNNNNNNNNNNNNNNNNNNNNNNNNNNNNNNAAACAUGUAUAGUUGAUAAGCAUAACAUAUAGGUAGUUUACCAAUUAACAUCUUAACUGAAAAUAUGAUAGUUAAUCGAUUAAGUGAAGCUUUAAUCGGAUAACGUGAAAACAAUUUUUAAUAUUUCAACAGAUAACUGAAAAACAGAAUUCAGUUACUCUCUAACAGCCCGUUAAUAGAUUAAUAGGCAACAUAAUCGAUUAACUGGAUGCAAAACAGUUUUUCUGUAUAAACUGUGUUUUUACACCAUGCUUCAUACAUUCAUUUUAGAAUUGCUAAGUUGCAUAUUUUCGUAUUCUUUGUAUAUCAUAUAGACAAAUAGAAUUGCAUGUGAGAUUAGAGUGAGAUAGUAUUAUGCUUAGGGCUUAACAUGUCAUCCAUUGCAUAUUAUAAAAUAUGUUCAUCAUUCUAUCUUGUUCUUGCAUGAUUCUUUCAUUAUUGUUUAGAGAUUUCUUAAGGGUAGAAAUUAAAUGUUCUUCAUGAUUCUGAUCUUAUACAUAUUCUUAGUAAUUGUGAGAUUUGUAUAGGGUUUAUAGCUUGUUCUUUCUUGUAAUAUUUGAGCUAUUUUGAGCUUCACAUUACUCUAUUUUUUGUGUUGUUUUUGUAACAAGGAAAGUCGUCUCUUGGUGUCGUACCAGCAACUAGAUCAGAGAGUCUUCAUCAAGACUUGGAGAUCUUGAGUUUAGAACAUACUCUUGGUUGGGGCUGGAUUGUAGGAAAGGUUUUCCUAGGCGAUUGGGUAAGGUCAAACCAAUGUAGAGGUUCUGGGAAUUCAAGAAGGUAGCAUUCAAGGUUUUGUAAUUAGAAGUGUGUAUGUAAGAUACAUUGGCUUCAAUUUUAGUGAAGAAAAUAUUACAUAUCAGAGGGGAGGA